rnacentral:lncRNA from 1 species
UGAGGCGCCCCAAUCAAAUAAGAUAAUCUGAGUGGGUGCCUCAUGUUAUACAAGGUAGGUAGAUGGGGCGCCAACACUUGGCACCCCCUUAGGGUUUCAUUGCUCAAAAGAGGGGGUGUGGCCCCUCUCUUUCUCUCCUUCCAUGCCAAUCCAUAAGAGGGGGCGGGCCCCUCUCAUAUUGUCCAAGGGUUGGCACCCAUAGUCCUGCC